rnacentral:rRNA from 1 species
AGUUAAUCUCUCGAUUGGUGACCAGCGGAGGGAUCAUUACAGAGUUAUCCAACUCCCAAACCCAUGUGAACUUAUCUCUUUGUUGCCUCGGCGCAAGCUACCCGGGACCUCGCGCCCCGGGCGGCCCGCCGGCGGACAAACCAAAACUCUUGUUAUCUUAGUUGAUUAUCUGAGUGUCUUAUUUAAUAAGUCAAAACUUUCAACAACGGAUCUCUUGGUUCUGGCAUCGAUGAAGAACGCAGCGAAAUGCGAUAAGUAAUGUGAAUUGCAGAAUUCAGUGAAUCAUCGAAUCUUUGAACGCACAUUGCGCCCAUUAGUAUUCUAGUGGGCAUGCCUGUUCGAGCGUCAUUUCAACCCCUAAGCACAGCUUAUUGUUGGGAACCUACGGCUUCGUAGUUCCUCAAAGACAUUGGCGGAGUGGCAGUGGUCCUCUGAGCGUAGUAAUCUUUUAUCUCGCUUCUGUUAGGUGCUGCCCCCCCGGCCGUAAAACCCCCAAUUUUUUCUGGUUGACCUCGGAUCAGGUAGGAAUACCCGCUGAACUUAAGCAUAUCAAUAAGC